GGGGGGCGGGGGCGGGGGGCCGGGGGCGGGGGAGGCGGGGGGCAGCACGGUAAGAGCUUGCUCUUACGGGUGGCGAGUGGCGGACGGGUGAGGAAUACAUCGGAAUCUACUUUUUCGUGGGGGGUAACGUAGGGAAACUUACGCUAAUACCGCAUACGACCUACGGGUGAAAGCAGGGGAUCUUCGGACCUUGCGCGAUUGAAUGAGCCGAUGUCGGAUUAGCUAGUUGGCGGGGUAAAGGCCCACCAAGGCGACGAUCCGUAGCUGGUCUGAGAGGAUGAUCAGCCACACUGGAACUGAGACACGGUCCAGACUCCUACGGGAGGCAGCAGUGGGGAAUAUUGGACAAUGGGCGCAAGCCUGGUCCAGCCAUACCGCGUGGGUGAAGAAGGCCUUCGGGUUGUAAAGCCCUUUUGUUGGGAAAGAAAAGCAGCAGGUUAAUACCCCGCUGUUCUGACGGUACCCAAAGAAUAAGCACCGGCUAACUUCGUG
rnacentral:rRNA from 1 species